AUUGAACGCUGGCGGAAUGCUUUACACAUGCAAGUCGAACGGCAGCACGGGGGCAACCCUGGUGGCGAGUGGCGAACGGGUGAGUAAUACAUCGGAACGUGCCCAGUCGUGGGGGAUAACUACGCGAAAGCGUAGCUAAUACCGCAUACGAACUCUGGUUGAAAGCGGGGGAUCGCAAGACCUCGCGCGAUGGGAGCGGCCGAUGGCAGAUUAGGUAGUUGGUGGGGUAAAGGCUCACCAAGCCGACGAUCUGUAGCUGGUCUGAGAGGACGACCAGCCACACUGGGACUGAGACACGGCCCAGACUCCUACGGGAGGCAGCAGUGGGGAAUUUUGGACAAUGGGCGCAAGCCUGAUCCAGCCAUUCCGCGUGCAGGAUGAAGGCCCUCGGGUUGUAAACUGCUUUUGUACGGAACGAAACGCGCCGGGUUAAUACCUCGGCGUAAUGACGGUACCGUAAGAAUAAGCACCGGCUAACUACGUGCUAGCCGCCGCCGUAAUAC
rnacentral:rRNA from 1 species